rnacentral:lncRNA from 1 species
AGCUUUUAACCCAUGGAUCCUUGGAAAAGGAAAGGUCAUGGGUUAUUAAGGUUUCACCCUAAUCAUGUACACUAUAUAAGCAUGCUUAUGUUGCAUGAAAUAGCCACUAGUGUGUCUAGAGUAUGUGUGUUUGUGUGUGGCCGAUUUUAUAAGUGUGUAUACACUCUCUCAAAGUUUUCCAAGAGUUUGUGGUGAUUUGUGAUUCCAUUUGAGGCAUUCACACUAUUGGUGCUUGGCCCUCAAACUCCUUAGGAAUUGAACUCAUCAUCAAAAGGUAUGUAAUCUCAUCUAAUUCUUUUAUGUUUAAAAGUACCCCAUGCCAUGUUAGAUAGGUUAUGAACCUUGGAAAAUUAUUAUUUUGCAUGUAUUUAGACAAACAUAGAUCCAAGGUUUAUUAGGGUUGCAUGCACACUUAGGAAGUGUUAGAUUGCUCAAAACCCAACAGUGGUAUCAGAGCCUAGGCUUGCUUGUUUGAUACUUGAUGCAAAAUAGUGAAAAAAGUUGAAAUUGUUGCUGUCUGGCUGAUGGACUCGCCGAGUCCAUGGGGGGACUCGCCGAGUUCAAGGCAAAAUUCAUCCUACUCGGCGAGUAGGUUCGUGCACUCGGCGAGUAGAAUGAUCAGAAUGCAGAAUUUCGACUUUUGCUGCUGGAAAUGGACUAGAAACAUUACCCUAAACUGUUUUGGUGUUUUAAAACUUGUUUUAGUUGGUGUAAUGGUUGUUCUAAUCCAUUUACAAUAGCAUAUAUCAAAAUUCCAUGAUUUUUAUGUGUUCAUAUAAUUCUUGAAAUUUUGAUGAUCAUGUUCAUGUUCUUAUGAAUUUAGAAGAUGAUAGGAAUUAUUUGCUGAAUUGUUUAGAAUUAAUUCUUGAUCAUUUAUGUGUUUUAAUGGAGUCCAUAAUUUGUCCUCAAGUUAUGGAUAUCCAAAGGUCACUUUUCUUUAACACACACAUUUAAACACAUAAGUUACAUGAAAAUGAAGAGUCUUCAUUUUUAUGAACCUUUAAUUCAUAAGUUAUGAAAUGAAAAGUUUUGGAUAGUUACAAAACUUGCCCUCAAGUUUUGGAAUUUGAAAAGUUUCACACACUUUAAUAAACUUUAAUUCCAACACUUAGAGUUUUAAAAGUUAAAAUUCAACACUUAUACUAUUUAUAACAUUAAUGGUUAAUUAUUAUAUAUAUGUAUAAGAACAAGUCGUUUUACCGUUAGUAGGCCUCAUUCACGAAGCCGGUCUAUAAGGUGGGUAUAAGGUUGUUGCCUAUAAAAUGGCGACUUAAUGGGUGUCCACUCUCACCCACCGCUUGCUUGAUCGGUGGAGGGUCGUUAGCCGAACGGGUAGGACAAUGACUUUAAAUUCUCAUUAAAAGUAUAAUGAUUAUUAUAAAGUAACUAAAAAUUUUUUAUUUAAUUCCCAAUCUUAGUUACUUUAGGAAAAAUGUGAAUUUGGUGCUAGCCCAUGGAAUUCACACUUUGUACCUUACCAAGUCGUUGGUGGAGCGUGUGUGGUUAACCGGCACACUAACUUGGACUAGUAAGGAUCACGAAGGGUGACUUAAUGUUUGUCAUAGAUCAAUGGAGCGUGUGUGGUUAACCGGCACAUUGAUUAGGUGAUAAUAUUAAGGGUACCAAGUGAAUUGGUAUGGUUAUUCACACCUUGUUUUGUGAUCCUCGGCAUCCCAGUCACAAAAUUUGAGAGGGCACACUCGAGAUUGAAACAUGCCAUUGAAAAGUUCAAUGAAUCUCAAAAGAUCUAGGAAUUUCAAAUCCAAUUAAAACCUAAUAAAUUAUUUCGUUUUUCAUGGUGGAAAUUGGUGAAUCGUCAUUCGCCUACCUUCAAAUAUUUUAUAGCUUGGAUUACGGCAUCCCUCUUCCAAAUUAUAAAAUAUUGUGUUGGGUCCUAGCCUUAAUAUUUCAUAUUGGGUGUUAUAUUAAGGACUUUGAAUCAACUAACUUGAUUUUCUCCCAUUAUAGAUGUCUGGUUCAGACAACUAUGAUCUUCCCAAAUCUCUUGAAGAUGGUGUCCCUCAACAUCAUGCUUCACUUCCUCCACCUCCUCCAAUUAUUCUCCCUCACCCACAAGUUCUUGAAAAGUUUAAAGUCACUCAAUCCCUAUUGGCAAGCAUAGUCUAUGUGUGCUCACAUCUUGGAGAUAAAGUCACAUAUUGACAAGCCGGGAGAGUUGGGUGUCAAAGUCUCGUGAAAGUUGGAUGUUCAAUCACUUUCUUAGUAACAUAGUGAGUCUCUUUGGGACUACUAUGAGACAGACUAUGACAUGACCCUUAAUGAUGUUAUCUAUUUGCUUGGUGUUGUGGAAUCAGCAAUGAUUUGGAACACCAGUAAAGCAAAUUUGAUUAAAAGAACAACUUCCCAAGUCUUAAAUGGACAUUGACAAUGGUAGCAUUGGAUAUCUAGAAAAGGAUUUCUCUUCCCAAUGGAAAGGGAUCGGCCAUAGUCAACUCGGUUGACCAAAUGGUAAAGAGAAAGGCUAAGUCUGAGAUAGUCUCAUGUGCCAUUACCAAAGGGUCCAUGUGUUUUGUUGCCAAAGGAAGGGGCAUUGGUUGCGAAGCUGCCCUAUUCACCUGAAAGGUCAUAAGGUUGAUCAAGUCAAGAGGUUUGACUCUACUUCGGGUAAAGUCCACUGUCUAACUCUAUUAAGUUCCUAUUUGGAGAUUCUUAUUACAUAAUGUGAAUGGGUCACAUGCUGAUGUUUUUAAGAAUCAAAGAAAAGAUAGGAAGCUUAAAGUAAGUAUAUGUUGAUUCUGAUUGCGAAGGUGGGUUUCGAUCGCAUGGUUCGGUAAUCAGAAUUUUGAGCUGUUGCUUAAGAGUUAUAAUAUAUUGCUUAUGAAUAGAUAACAACAAGGUUUUCAUGUGGAUUGUAAGGAUAAGUUUUUCCGCAAAGUUUUAAAAAAAAAAAAAAAAAAGGGUUUUAAUUUUAUUUAUUUUAAAAAUAUCCUUACAAUGGCAUCUGUGGAAAAUUGUUGCUUAUAUGUUUCCAGUAAUAGCAAUAUUGGAAAGUGGAUUUGAUUCUUUCAUUUGUGGUAGUGUCUGAAUUUACCAAAUGAAGAAAGUUUUUCAUCACCCAAGUUUCAAUUGGACAGAAACUUGGAAUCAUACAAGUUGUAUUGUAUGAUGAAUGAGAAUUUUCAUCUUUGAAAAUUAAGACUAAUUCUUUGAUCACAUGUAUAUGUGAGUCAAUUGAAGGACUAAGGAAUUAGGUACACUGGGUGUGCGCUGGUCAAGGUCCACCACAAAGAUUGAUUUGUCAUGAUUUACUAAAGAUUAGUAAAUAUGAUUAUACUUAUGAGGUUAAGUAUAAUUCUGUAACAUUGGAAAGGUUACAAUGUAUGACAAAACAAAUGAGAAGAAUCAAAUUAGGCAGAAAGAUAAAAGUUUCUCAAAUCUGAAAGGAUGGGAGAGUACUUUAGUAUCGUAUUUCAUGAUCAUCUUAAUGAUUAUGAAACCAUAUCACAAAUUCAUACUCUAAGGACGUCUUAGUGCAUUGUUAUGGCUAAGAAGAGAGGUCAUGAAUUGUUGGAUUGGUUAAAAUCAAGAAGAUGAGUCAUACUUCGUUCCAAAACAAUUCUUAGAGUCAUACUCCAAGAUUGUAACUUUGAGUGACAUAAAGGAAGAUUUAUUAACACUAGUCAAAUGUAAGAGUAAAAUGUUUUCUACUCUUGUACAUUUGAGAUUGGUAAGUUGUGAUGUCUUGGAUGAGACAAAGACCAACUAAGACCAAUUGUGUGAAGUGUUAGUCUUGAUAAGAAUCCGCACUAUCCCUUGAAUAUUUGUUUUGUCAAGGAAUGGUUCUUGACUGGGGAAACUUAUAUGUCAAGGGGACAGUGGGAGCCUUAAAGAUCCUGAAAGAGUUUCAAGAUUUAAUCAAGAGUAAAACCUGUAAUUUAUCACUAGCACACGACUUAAGGUUUGCAACCUAUCGUGUUGACAUAAUUCUUAUUUCUGUACCUACUUCAAAUAAGUUGAAUUUGCAUGUGAGUUAUCAGAGUUCAACUUGGAAGCAUUGGUGGGCCUUGUGCUACCAAGGUGACAAGAAACUAAGAUUGAACAAGUUUAAUCCAUGUAAGGCUGAAUUUGUCACUAACCUUAUCUUGUGAUUAUGGUUUUGACAAAUUCACAUGGAUAGGAACUCAUACACUAUAAAAUCUAAGUGUCAUAAGGUUUCUCUCCGAUUCAUGAAAAUGAUGGUGAGGAAACACUUCCACCAAGUAGAUUUGAAGUAGAUAGCGAUUGUGAUAUUUGCAUUCUCCAAGUCUUUAGUGGAGCUGUGUGGUUAACUGGCACACUAACAUGGACUUGUGAGAAGUGGCACAAUGGUCUAAACAAUUGACAUUAUGAUUACGGUAUCCCUUUUCAUAGUUCUAAAAUGUGUUUAGACACACAUGUGAGCUAUCUAAGAAAGGGUGUAUGAAUCUAAAUUUCAGAAGUCCAGCAGAUUUCUGGAAAUAUGUCAGAGCUAGUGGGAGCAUAAGUGUUAUGCUGAUAAUCAUCAUGUUAGUGGGAGCAUGAUUAUUAUGUUUAGUGUUGCAAGUUAGCAAUGUUAAUUAUAGAAAACAAAGUUUCAAUUCGUGAAGUUGCAGGGGUUGAAAAGUUGUUUUGCUAUAAUUAAGGGAGAGGAAAUUAUACUUCAUUUCAAUUCUAAAGCUUAGAUUGAGAUUUUAAUCAUCUUUAGUCAAGAAUAUAUAUAUGAAUUUUAUGUUGGAAUGGUUCAACUUGAAGAAAUUCUAUAUAUAUUGCGUUUUCAAAAUUCGAUUAUGAUUACGGCAUCCCUCUUCAUAGUUAAAUUUUGAAAACAUGGCAAAUAAAAAAUAUUGUAGCAAAAGACUGGUCUAGUAUCAUGUCUUUAUGUCAAACAUCAUGAAUCGUGUCCCAUAUGCUUCGGAUAUAGGAUCGAUUGCAUGUGCUAUAAUAUUCAUCUUUUCUAAAUUUUCCAAAUGCUUAAGGCAUUGAGAAGGGAAAAGUCUAGAACUGGAUAUGACUAAAGUGAUUAAGCAAUUGUCGAGGACAAUCUGAGGUUCGCCAAAGAUUGGUUGCUCAGGGAAAGUUGGAAGUAUGAUGUAAGUUGUCGGAAAGGACCAUAUUGACAUAUUCUGAAAAGAAGUAACUCUUGUUCGGAAGUGAUAGUCAAAAUGGGACUAUGGAAAUGUCUCCAUAGGUGGAAGUUAUUCAAUCUAUGUAAGAUUAGAAAACCUUAAUGCAAGAAGGAUGUUCAAAGCAAUGUACUUUGAAUAUGAGACUUCCGUUCCAUAGAAGUUGACCUUCUUUGGAAUACUCUGUAAUGACUGGUGACAAGGUUUUGGUGACUUUGUGCAUAAUCAUUACAAGAGGAACAUUGCAUAAAAGUUUAAAAUCUAACAGUUUUUUUGGUAAAUGAUAGGAAUCGGGGAUUCUCACAUUUACAAUAAGGAUUUGGGAUUGUGAAAUGAGUAUCAUUGGAAUCAUGUUCAAUUGAUCUACAUCACAAUGUAAGGAUCAUAGACAAACAUAGUGUGCAUACUUGGAGUAUGGCAUAACUAUUGUUUAGAAAAACAAAGUGUACAUGCUAGGAGCAUGGGACGACUGUUGUUUUUAUUCAAGUCUUAAGUUGAUUGUUUGAAACAUUAUACAAUGAAUAAUGUGUAAUCAAUAUGGUGAUAAAUAAAAGGUGGUUCUAUUUAUAUUCAAAAGGGUUCUGAGACCAUAUUGGAUUCGAUUAUUAUUGUGUUUCACUUUGCAUGUUUUGACUUCCAAAAUAGCUAGGUUAUUCUUUCCGAAUGACUAAGUUAUUUAAACACUCCACAGUCGUUCAUAUGUUGGAAGUAGGUAUGAAUCAAGACUGUCAUGAAUCGAGUUUGUAGAUGGCUAAAUGGGUUUAGUCAUAGCAAUGGUUGCUACAACAUUCAUGAGUGCUCAUAAGUUAUGAGUAUUGGAAUAAACCCACGCUCACUUGUAUCACUUCAUGGAAUUUAUCUCGAGUGAUCGUGAGACGGUAAUAUCAUAUAAAUCUUCAAACCUAGAGAUAUGAGUUGUUACCUAUGAGUUGGUUGUGCAUUGAUUGCACGUAAACGCAUCAGUAACUUGAUGUUAUAAAACGUGCCUUUGUGUACAAUUCAACAAGUAGUAGAACAAGCAUAUGAGUCGAAGUUUAUCUGUUCCUUCUAGAAAUAGAAGCGAUAUUUGGGCCCCUCGAUGAUUUUGUUGUGACCUAUGUACCGGCCGGUCAGAACUAAAUUGAUGUGUUCGAUUAAGUUCUUUGUCAAACAAAUCGAAAAUCGGGAAACAAACUGCUGGACAAUAAGUACGACGUUGUUCCAUGUAUUUGUCCGGCUGAUAUCAUGAGAACAGAGGAUUAUAUGAUCACUUAUCUAAAAUGGCGCUUCAUAGUUCAACAGAGUUUUCGAGAGCUACGAUUGCUGGUUGGUUCCUGAAGUAACAUACGCAAAUAUAGUUAUUAGACUUAUCCAAGUGGGAGUCUGUUGGAUAAGGUGUCUAAGUCCAUAACUUAUUUGGUAUAUACUUGACCCGACCCGGCAUGGUCCAUUUGGGUUGCACUUCACCCGAACUAUUUAUGGAUAAUUUUAUGAGAGUUAUACACAUAUGUUUAUUAAUAUAUUAUAAGUUAUAAUAUAUUAAUAUGAAGUCAUGUUAUUUAAUUAGUCUUAGUCUUAAAUUAAUUAUGAAUUAAUUUAGAGAUUAAAAGGAAGACUAAUUAGAUUGUGGGCUAUUAGUUUUAUAUAGUGUGGGCUAACACUCAUUUGUUAAUGGGCUAGGCUUGUGUGGAAGUCCAUGGAUGAUCCAUGGAGAUUUUAACACAUGGAUCCUUGGAAAAGGAAAGGUCAUGGGUUAUUAGGGUUUCACCCUAAUCAUGUACACUAUAUAAGCAUGCUUAUGUUGCAUGAAAUAGCUACUAGUGUCACUAGUGUGUGUGCUUGUGUGUGGCCGAAAAAUUACAAGUGUGUGUACACUCUCUAAAGUUUUCCAAGAGUUUGUGGUGAUUUGUGAUUCCAUUUGAGGCAUUCACACUAUUGGUGCUUGGCCCUCAAACUCCUUAGGAAUCAAACUCAUCAUCAAAAGGUAUGUAAUCUCAUCUAAUUCUUUUAUGUUUAAAAGUACCCCAUGCCAUGUUAAAUAGGUUAUGAACCUUGGAAAAUUAUUAUUUUGCAUGUAUUUAGACAAACAUAGAUCCAAGGUUUAUUAGGGUUGCAU